rnacentral:rRNA from 1 species
UACGUAGGGGGCAAGCGUUGUUCGGAAUUACUGGGCGUAAAGGGCGCGUAGGCGGCCUGUUAAGUCGAACGUGAAAUCCCCGGGCUCAACCCGGGAACUGCGUCCGAUACUGGCAGGCUUGAAUCCGGGAGAGGGAUGCGGAAUUCCAGGUGUAGCGGUGAAAUGCGUAGAUAUCUGGAGGAACACCGGUGGCGAAGGCGGCAUCCUGGACCGGUAUUGACGCUGAGGCGCGAAAGCAUGGGGAGCGAACAGG